rnacentral:rRNA from 1 species
UACGGAGGGGGCAAGCGUUAUUCGGAAUUAUUGGGCGUAAAGGGCGCGUAGGCGGCUAGAUGUGUCAAAGGUGAAAUCCCUCGGCUCAACUGAGGAACUGCCUUUGAAACUGUCUGGCUUGAGGCCGGGAGAGGGUAGCGGAAUUCCCAGUGUAGCGGUGAAAUGCGUAGAUAUUGGGAGGAACACCAGUGGCGAAGGCGGCUACCUGGACCGGAUCUGACGAUGAGGCGCGAAAGCGUGGGUAGCAAACAGG